CUUCAAUAAACAUUGAUUGCUUGAAACGAAAAUACGCAAUCUUUUAGAGAUACCGGAAAACGGAACAACUGUGUGUAAGCUGUGUGUAAAGUGACAGAAAGAGCGAGAAUCAUGAUGAAGAUCAGUUCUCAUUCACUCUUCCUCUUCGGUCCUUAACAGACAGUCUGGAAUCAAAGCUUUGACGUCUAAAACACAUCACAACGGCCACAGAAGAGGUAAAAGGGAGGGAGUUGAGCUCUUCCUCUGUAGAAACUUCAUCAUCCUCUCCAUCUGCAAUGGAGAUUGCCCUGGUGAGUUGGUGCUAAGGCUGUGUGCUUUAAUGUAGAGCUGUUCUACUGAAGUUAAAUGUGAAAUGCUGAAUAACCAAAAGAUGGAUAUAAUAGAAUAGCCUGACAUUAAACAACUUAACCUGAUCGGCUAUUAAAAAGUCUAUUGAAAUAACCUUAAAGUUGAUUCAGCAGGCCAGUCAGGUUAAGUAGUUCAAUGUCAUGCUAUUCUAAUAUAUUCUGCAAUGCCGAUUGACUGCAAAACAUUAA